rnacentral:lncRNA from 1 species
GUUUGUCUUCGGCUCCACGGGCAAGAAAUCAUGAUAAUUUAAAUUCUGAAUCAUGGAAUUGGACUUAAAAAACAAUUGAGUUUUGGAGCUUCUAGCAGUAGAAUCAACUGGGAGGACCCAAUUUCAUCCAAUUUGUAGCUUGAUUUCAUCCAGCAAGACAUACUUAAGCAUAAAGACCUAAAAGUGGAGAAAUUCUUUGAUGUUUAGACACUCAAAGUUAAGAAAACAUGAGAGAGAUGAAAGUUAUCUGAGAAAAUAACAGGAGAAAAAAGAAAUACAGUCUCUUGGAACUAAAAGUAUAUAAGGAACACUUCCUCUGGGAUGAGAGAAGGUAAGGGUCCAUCUCUUGCCUCUACUAGCUGCUAUUUCUACCUGUUUCCAUUGGUAAAGGAGGUUGUGAUGGUUAAUACUGAGUGUCAGCUUGAUUGGAUUGAAAGAUGCAAAGUAUUGCUCCUGAGUGUGUCUGUGAGGGUGUUGCCAAAAGAGAUUAAUUAACAUUUGAAUCAGUGGACUCGGAGAGGCAAACCUACUCUCAAUCUGGGUGGGCAUCAUCUAAUCAGCUGCCAGCAUAAAAGCAGGCAUGGAAAGAGCAGACUGGCUGAGUCUUCUGUCCUCCAUCUUUCUCCCAUGCUGGAUGUUUCCUGCCCUCGAACAUCAGACUCUAAGUUCUACAGCUUUUGGACUCUUGGACUUACACCAGUGAUCU